rnacentral:ncRNA from 1 species
CAAAGUCUUGGUCCUAAACUUACUGUUACUAGCGGCCACCAUUACACAUGCCAGUAUCUGCACACCAGUGCCCACGCCCACCAACCCACUCGGAGCCGGCAUCAGGCACGCCCGAGGGCUAGCCCAAGACGCCUAGCGUAUGCCACACCCCCAAGGAACUCAGCAGUGAUAAACAUUAGGCAAUAAGCCCACACGCUUGACCUAGGCCCAGCCACCUCACUAAAGCCGGUAAACUCCGUGCCAGCCACCGCGGUUAUACGGAGGACUAAAAGUAACUACAACCGGCGUAAAACGUGACUAGAGACCCACCCCUGAAACACGGAACAGAAACCCUGGAUAUAGUUGUAGAACACUCAUAUCCCAGAACCAACUAACACACGUCCCACCAUCAGGCCCCCUUGACCCCACGAAAACUAAGGCCCAAACUAGGAUUAGAUACCCUACUAUGCUUAGCCGUAAACCCAGAUAGCCUAACUACCAACUAUCCGCCAGAGAACUACAAGCGAAAAGCUUGAAACUCAAAGGACUUGACGGUGUCCCACAUCAACCUAGAGGAGCCUGUCCUAUAAUCGAUACUCCACGCUAAACCCGACCAACUCUAGCACCAUCAGCCUAUAUACCGCCGUCGCCAGCCUACCUUGUGAAAGCCACAAUAGUAGGCACAAUAGCCCCCACUAAAACGUCAGGUCAAGGUGUAGCUAAUGACUUGGAAGCGAUGGGCUACAUUUUCUUGAAAAGAAAACACGGACCACAGCAUGAAACCCUGCCACAAGGAGGAUUUAGCAGUAAACCAGGCAAGCUAUGCCACAUUGAAACCUGCCCUGGAACGCGUACACACCGCCCGUCACCCUCAUCAACACCCCACCCACCCCCCACUAAAUAAACCCCUUACACCACACCAGAUGAGACAAGUCGUAACAUGGUAAGCGUACUGGAAAGUGCGCUUGGACAACC